AUGUACCACGCGUGCACUGCGGUUGCUCCGUGCCGUCCGCACCGACCUGGCGACUGCUCGUUACGUUUUGUUAGCC
rnacentral:sRNA from 1 species